rnacentral:rRNA from 1 species
UACGUAGGGUGCGAGCGUUGUCCGGAAUUACUGGGCGUAAAAGAGCUCUAGGGUGGUUUUGUCGCGUUGUCCCGUGAAAAACUCACAACUCAAAUUGUGGGCGUGCGGGGCGAUACGGGCAGACUGGAGUACUGCAGGGGGAGACUGGAAUUCCUGGUGUAGGCGGUGAAAUGCGUAGAUAUUGGGAAGGAACACCAGUGGCGAAGGCGGGCUCAACCUGGACUGGUAACUGACGCUGAUGCGCGGAAAGCGUGGGGAGCAAACAGGGAUUAAGAAACCCUCGGUGACGUC